rnacentral:ribozyme from 13 species
UAAAAAAAAAAAAAAAAAAAAAAAAAAAAAAAAAAAAA